GUUGUGGAUGAAUGGACAAAGCUUCUAGUUUAGGCAGCAUCGCUGAUAGCUGUGGUUCAGGCCUGGAUCCUGUUAGUCCGUAAGAGUGUUGUUCUUCGGAAUGAGAGACCUCGCAUCUGGUAUGGUCCGAUGUUAAUCCGGGAUCAAGAGAGGACAGGGAAUCUGAACUACAUCUACAACUGCAACGACACAGAGGCUCUGUGAAUGCUUCGAAUGAAAAGAGCACCUUUCGCCAGGCUUGUGUAGACGUUUAGGGGCAGAGGGCUGCUAGAAGAUAACAUCCACACCACUGUGGAAGAGCAAGUCGCCAUGUUCCUCCAUGUUGGUCAUAACCAGAUAUUCAAGGUUGUACACAACACCUUCACGAGAUCAAUGGAGACCAUCUCCAGGUACUUCAAGCAAGUGAUGUAUGCUGUUGGGGAGCUCAGAGGAGAGAUGAUCAGGUCACCAACCGGCUAGACUCCUACCAAGAUUCACACUACCCCAAGAUGGUAUCCAUACUUCAAGGUGAGCACUUGA
rnacentral:rRNA from 1 species